rnacentral:rRNA from 1 species
AGCGGCAGGCUUAACACAUGCAAGUCGAGGGGCAGCACGGGUAGCAAUACCUGGUGGCGACCGGCGCAAGGGUGCGUAACGCGUGAGCAACAUGCCCUAUACAGGGGGAUAAUCCAGGGAAACUUGGUCUAAUAUCCCAUAGUAUUUAGAGGAGGCAUCUUCUAUAAAUUAAAGCUUCGGUGGUAUAGGAUUGGCUCGCGUGACAUUAGCUAGAUGGUGAGGUAACGGCUCACCAUGGCAAUGAUGUCUAGGGGUUCUGAGAGGAAGGCCCCCCACACUGGGACUGAGACACGGCCCAGACUCCUACGGGAGGCAGCAGUGAGGAAUAUUGGACAAUGGAUGGAAAUCUGAUCCAGCCAUGCCGCGUGCAGGAAGACAGCCCUAUGGGUUGUAAACUGCUUUUAUAUGGGAGCAAUAAGGUCUACGAGUAGAUUGAUGAGAGUACUGUACGAAUAAGCAUCGGCUAACUCCGUG